rnacentral:rRNA from 1 species
UACGUAGGGACCAAGCGUUGUUCGGAAUUACUGGGCGUAAAGGGCUCGUAGGCGGCCAACUAAGUCAAACGUGAAAUCCCUAGGCUUAACCGGGGAACUGCGCUUGAUACUGGAUGGCUUGAGAUUGGGAGAGGGAUGCGGAAUUCCAGGUGUAGCGGUGAAAUGCGUAGAUAUCUGGAGGAACACCGGUGGCGGAGGCGGCAUCCUGGACCAACACUGACGCUGAGGAGCGAAAGCCAGGGGAGCAAACGGG